rnacentral:lncRNA from 1 species
GAAAUUAUCAUUUUCCAUUGUCCAUAAUACUACUUCUUGAGCUUAUUGAGCCCACCAUUGUGAGGCAGAUCCUACUCAGAUACAAGGUAACUCUUCCACAGAUCCUCAUUACCAAAUUCUAGGUGACACGUUCUAAAUUUCUGCCUUUUAAUUCUUCAAAUUAGGCACAUUAGCUUAGGGAAACCUGCUAUGCUGAGCCUCAGAGGACAGUAAUUACCACACCAGUGAAAUACAAGCCCUGGCUUCUUUGUCUUCCAUGCCUUGAAGUCCACAUUUAGUGACUCAGAGACUCCUUUCCCAAAGCUACCAAAAGGUACUUUUGAGUCCCCAAAUCAUUAGAAGAAUGCCACUGGCUAUUUCUUACAUAGCCAUAUGCUGACCAUCCACAAGGUAGGAAUUUCCAUGACUUAACCUGAGUUUCAUUAGUACUCCUAUCUACUCUCUGCUUCUAUUUCAACAAUUUGUGCUGGAGGCACAAAUAAAGAAAUAUAAUGUCGAUGUUUCCUGCUGGUUAACAUUUUCUCUAAUAUAUGUAUUGAUUUUUGUAACAAAUUUGGCUCUUUCUCCAGAAAAUCAAAUUACACCUUAAAGGGGAGAAUAAAUAAAACACUACACAAAUACAGUAUUUCUUCUUAAGGCAAGAAACUCUGCAUCACCUCCAGGACUUGUAGGUCUAUUCUGCUACAGGGAUUUCACACAAUGCCAAUAUUAUAGGUCUUCCCAGCAGAAGGCUCAUUCUUUCUUUUGGUUUCAAAGAAGCUCAGUAGUAAAGUCCAGUCUGACACUAAAGAAAGCUAAGUGAAGGGAAUGAUUAUCACUGCUACUGCUCAUAACUAGGCAGAGUGAUAGAAAACUUUGGAGUGGGUUUUGAGGGAACACACUGUCAGGAAUAGAAGCUGGGUCACUAGUACUUCCCCACAACUCAAUAACGGUUGCUCAGUGACCCAAACAAUGUCCUGGUUACCAAGUUUGUUUUUUUU